UACGGAGGGGGCUAGCGUUGUCCGGAAUCAUUGGGCGUAAAGCGCGUGUAGGCGGCCCGGUAAGUCCGCUGUGAAAGUCGGGGGCUCAACCCUCGGAUGCCGGUGGAUACUGCAGGGCUAGAGUCCGGAAGAGGCGAGUGGAAUUCCUGGUGUAGCGGUGAAAUGCGCAGAUAUCAGGAGGAACACCGAUGGCGAAGGCAGCUCGCUGGGACGGUACUGACGCUGAGGCGCGAAAGCGUGGGGAGCAAACAGG
rnacentral:rRNA from 1 species